rnacentral:snoRNA from 9 species
GGUCAGUGAUGAGUAGUAAAAAGGCUGACUCCCCAGGUCCCCUCCUUGCGUCUUCAUCAUCCCCAGAUGCCUCUCUCCAUCCGGCUCCAGUGAUGCUCUGAUGGGCAAAGGGGCAGCUGACACUCCGUGAGGUCCCAGUUCUGUGUUCUUGGCAAGCCCAGGGCCGAUGGCGUAGUUGGCGUCCCACAGCUUGUCACGAAGGGAUUUGAUUGUUGGCAGUGCUGGUAUCUGUGGUUGUGAUCGGAAGGUUCAAGCUGAGGCC